UGGGUUAGUGGCGGACGGGUGAGUAACGCGUGGAUAACCUGCCGUAUACAGGGGGAUAACACUUAGAAAUAGGUGCUAAUACCGCAUAAGCGCACGGUUCCGCAUGGAACAGUGUGAAAAACUCCGGUGGUAUACGAUGGAUCCGCGUCUGAUUAGGUAGUUGGCGGGGUAACGGCCCACCAAGCCGACGAUCAGUAGCCGACCUGAGAGGGUGACCGGCCACAUUGGGACUGAGACACGGCCCAAACUCCUACGGAAGGCAGCAG
rnacentral:rRNA from 1 species